rnacentral:rRNA from 1 species
UGGGGAAUAUUGGACAAUGGGCGCAAGCCUGAUCCAGCCAUGCCGCGUGAGUGAUGAAGGACCUAGGUUUGUAAAGCUCUUUCACCGGUGAAGAUAAUGACGGUAACCGGAGAAGAAGCCCCGGCGAACUUCGUGCCAGCAGCCGCGGUAAUACGAAGGGGUCUAGCGUUGUUCGGAUUUACUGGGCGUAAAGCGCACGUAGGCGGACUUUUAAGUCAGGGGUGGAAUCCCGGGGCGCAACCCCGGAACUGCCUUUGAUAAUGGAAGUCUUGAGUAUGGUAGCGGUGAGUCGAAUUCCGAGUGUAGAGGUGAAAUUCGUAUAUAUUCGGGGGAACACCCGUGGCGAAGGCGGCUCACUGGACCAUUACUGGCGCUGAGGUGCGCAAGCGUGGGGAGCAAACCGG